ACCAGCUCCAUUGGGGGGCUCUUAGCACAAGUUUUUAACAAAAAGGAAAAAAAAAAUGAAAAAGGCCCAAAAAGCAAAGAAAGAACCGCUGCUUAAAGUGGGCUUUCUAGAGCUUGUAAGAAACCUUUAUGUGGCAGUUUGUUAUUGGACCGUGCAUUAAUUCCUCUUUCUCUCCUUCGUCGAAGGUCUGGCGAAAUCUAUUCUUCUUCAGUCAUCGAUCUCUCCAUCUUCUCUCUAGUCCGUUGAUGAAUCUUCUGAAGAACAUCCAUACAAAAAACGCAGGGCUUCUCUCUUUCCUCCGUUAGACCCGCUCUCUCUCCAACUUUCUUCUUCGUCUCCCACAUCGCAGCGAUCGAUCCGCGGAGGAUGAGCCUCUGUCUACUUCUGUUGCAGCGAAGGAGGAGAUCGAUGACUGAAGACCAAUCGUUUUAGUCACGAACGGAGAUGGGAUUGAUUCGAUUGGGCUCGUUCUAUGACUCCUGGAGAAACCAUUGCUUUGAGUUCCGCCAGUAUCAAAGGUGCCACAGCCUUUGAAGUUUCAGGGACUCCUGUGGACUGCAUUUCGUAAGGAUUAUCCGGAGCCCUUCUCGCUUGGUCAAAGCCAAUACUGGUAAUUAGUGGAAUCAAUCAGUGAUCAAGCUGUGGGAUGGAGCCAGGGAACACACUCUCUGUCAGAACCGUAUUCACCAUCAUCAAAGCAUCAUUUGGGAAGAGGUGAAGAAACAACUGAAGGCGAAGAAAUGGUUUCUUGGUUCAGUAGCUGGGCCUCCAAGCAUUGCCCUGAUGCAAAGCAUAUGAAUGUUGGCAGUGACACGCAAUUAAGACAGCUGUUUUUCGGUGGCAUUACUAACAGGUGAAGCGAAUACAUGUGACAGAAGAAGCCAAGACAUGACAUUGGUAUGUUUCGCUCACUCAUAAGCUUGUGUAUUUUCAUAUUUUGUAUUUUGUCUAGUCGUAUUGUGUGCUCAUUCUACUUUAAAAAAAAAAAAAUUUAAGAACUCAACGAGGUUCUACCAUUGGAUUAGAAAAAAUUAAAUUAAAUUAAUAAAAGUUCUAAACCUUUCAAAUCACUAUAUUUAUUACUAAUUUAUUGGUUAGAACCCAUAAUGGGGUUCUUAUUGAUGGACAUAUUCUAAGACUUUAUCAUAGCAGCACUCUCCACGCCGUCUAUACUCCCACCAACCAGGCCUUGAGCAACACGUCCCUCCUCAGUGAUAAGUUACUUUAUUACCCUCCUCUUUCCUUAG